ACAGAGAGCAGGGUCUUAUUACUCAGUACUCUGCAUGGUGUUCGACUUGAUUUAAGUGGCAGAAACCUUAAUUAGGGCUCUGAACAGACUUCCUAAUAGUGCAGUUCAAACUACUGGGAAAGAAACAUUUGUCUAGUCAAAGCAAACAGAAUUUGAUUAGUUUCCCUGAGGGACCCAGGGAGUGAAACAGGAAUGACACAGAGGAGACACUAAGUUCAGCAGGACACAGCUGGAUUAUUCCUCUCAUACCCGUUAUAUAUUUUAAAACAUCUGUCCAGACUUCAGUGAGCCUUGUAGCCUACAGAUGCAAAUGAUAAACUGCAAGUGAAGCCUGUGGACGAAAUGAAAAUUACAAGCUAGAUUCUCCCUGGGAUCCUGAUCUGCGCGAGAGCAAACCCAUCAGCUUGAAAGGGUUAUUUCAGAUUCAUGAACCUGUAAAAGAACUCAGAAGAAGGUCUUAGGAGCAAAAUUAUCCUGGAUCACGGUCAUUUACAGAGGCAAACGCUUGCAACAUCAGAGCUGCCUGGUUCAAAGCAUCUGUUUGGAGAGGCUUUUUGGAAACAUGCCUUUUAUAUAUGACCUCUAAGACUUUAGCACUGACUGUGCACAAUAACACAUUCCAGAGCAUCUGUAGUUCCCUCAGCUACGCAAGAAAUACUUGAGAAUCAAGCAGAGGAAAAAUGCUAUCUUGCUGCAGUACUGGGAAGAAUAGCAUGGAGAUAGUGGAAAGCAAUCAGUGGAUGCUGAAUCUGACUAUGUGGAAUGAAGGUGAAGUUGAUGUGAAAAGCGAGUUUUAUGAAGAAAUGUGUCCUUGAACCACCACUUACAGGUUGUCUUUGAUUUGCUUUGAUUGCAAUGAACGCCGCGGCAGCGCGAGGAGCACCGCCGGCGGGACACACGUGGGCAGGUAGCGGCUUGUCUGAACGGGGGGGGCGUUCCCGAGCAACUGCCCCGCUGAUUGGACGACACAGACAGCAAGGGGCGGAGCCCGCACCGGAUAGCGCGGGAGAUUUAAGCAGGCGAAAGCAAUCAGCCCAGCUGAUUGUAAGGGGCGAGCAUAGACUAUUUCCCAGCGGGCAGCGUGGUAACCAUCCUCUAAAAAAACAGUGUCCUCUGCUUCUAGCACCUGGCGGAACCAGUGCGGCCACACAGAGCGAGCUCCCGUUCCUGUGUCCGACCACCCAGGUUUCUGGCUGUGGGAGGUGUGAAGGGAUAUUCCCAGAGGUGGAAAGGAUAUUGACAUCUGUCUCCAGGACUGGUGCCUCUGCCAAAACUUUGGGAUUUUAAACCAUGGAAGAGCCUUCGAGACACAAGAAAUGGAAAGAAUGGCAAGAUUCAUCUUCUGGAGCCUUGACUUCAAAGGAGCUACCUCUGCCCUCUUCCAAAAGGAGCAGAUACCACUCUUGUGGUAAGGAAGAGGAGCAAAGCGUUGUAAAAGAACCUUUUAUGCUGUCUCUUGGAUAACUUGUUUACUGUUGGCAGAUGGGGGAACCUUCAUUAAGUUGCUAAGUAGAGUCCACUGGUCAUUUACGCUUUAGAUCCACUUCUGUGGAAAAUUCUGUUUAGCUUGGGUCUAAAUGUGAAAUGGAGCUCCACGUUGAUAGAAUGUGGUUUCUCAUAACAUUUGUAUGUGCUCGAACAUUCCUGUCAGGCGUAUUUAUACUUUUAAAAUAAAAGCAGAUUGAUGGAUGGAUUUUUCCAAUUAAGAUAACCAUUUAUUGCUUGCUACCAAAUGUUUAGCCAGAGACACCCUAAUGUUUUAGUCUCUUCUCUUCUAAUUUUGCAUAUACUGGUUUUACACGUGUAUUACUUCACAUAAUGUGAUGGUGAGUCUUCUAAUUAACAUUAGUAAAAAUAAAAGCAGAACUAGAACAGCUGUUAUUUUAAAAUAGCUCGGUAUCAGUGAUGGUUGUGCUAUUAUUUAGAGGCACUGGGUGAUGGACGUGCCUUAAAUGCCUUGGCUAAUCAGAAUGCUUCAAAUAAAACAAAUACUAGUGAUAUCAUGGGAAGAGUGUAAAAGAACAGGCAAUUCAUCCUGAUGUACUCUUUACAGCCCCCUUAUUUUCUGUGAUUCUGAUCAGCUGAGAGUCUUUCUCUCUUCAGAAUUGAAACAACAGAGUUGACUGGAUAGAUUAAAAAGAUUAAAAUGAGAUGUUUACUGCACACUGUAAGUGUCAUGGGUUUAUACAUGGAAGCAUAAACAUUAAAUUUCAAGUUUUAACUUCAAAGAUGGAAGAUUUCUUUUAUUUCCAAAACUACAUGGACAGUAACUGCCAGGUAACUUCUAGGAAUGCCAUUAGAUUGUUGAUGACAUUUUCAUUGCGAGUCAGACUGACAGACUAUCUUCAUGAAGUUUCUUUCCCUGGAUAUUUUCAUGAAUAAGUUAAUGGCAGUUGUGCAUAUUUUCUUAGCUCUGUGCACGGAACAAUUACCUAUUUGCACAGAUGUAGCAAGCAAAACCCCAGAGCAGGACAAAUGCUGAGAUCAAUGCUGGAGUUCGUUCCAGGUAUGGAGAGAAAACAUAUAUGUUUUAAUGCCAAGAUUCUGAAUUUCUGGAUUGUAAUUUUACCUCUCAAAUUCUGAUGACUUCAUCUUCAUUCUUGUGGUGUAUGACAUCACCAGAAGAGCCUUAAUAGUUUUGUAAGCCAUCUUGCUUAAAGGAGGAAGGGGAGAUACUAUUUUUUUUUUUCUUUAUUAAGACUUCCCUACAAAAUAAUCUGUGACAGAAAAGGAUAAUUUAAGGGACUAUCUCUGCUUGUAUUGCGUAUCUGUGAAGAAGAAUAUUGAUUUGAGGAGGAUUUUGCAUAGUGUUGUUAUCCAUCAUAAUAAAUAUCUACACAGCAUAGAAUAACACUUUGACCAGAGAGACUAUUGAAGUGCAUUCCCUCAGUGUGCCACUAAUGUAUGCCUAUUUUCUGUAUCCUACAAAUAAGUAAUAAGUCUGCUUUGUGGUUUAUAAAUCUGUGUCUAAUGGUUCCCACAGAAAAUCCCAAGUAAUUCUUUGCAGACUACCUUUCCUUAAUGAUGGGACAUAAGGGGCAUGUUGAUGAAAAUUAUUUCUGUUGCUUUUCAAUGAUCAGAAACAUACAACAUCUAUCAUUAUACCAACAGUUAUUACUGUGCUGUUGCAUCAGGUUUGAAUCUUGGGAUUUGACCUCAGUAGCAAUUUUAGAUUGUAAACUUUUCUUCUCAAAGACUGACUACAAAGCAUAACUGUCUGCUAUGUUAUUUCUUUUUAGUUUGACAGCUGAAGUCCUCUCUUGACCCCACAUGAUGCUUUAAUGUCAUAGAGAAUUUCCAGUGCAUCCUGUAAUAAUCCUGCCUCAAAUACCAACCAGUGAACAGUUAUGUCAGGAAAGGGGGAAUGCUCGCUAUAGAGAGGGUUAUUCUGCAAUCUUUCUAUGACACUGAAGCUGCACCUACUCUGUGAAAUGCCUAUAUAGUUAAAACUCUAGUUCUCUUAUUCUCAUAUUUGCAUAGCAGAGGUAGCAUUAAUUUGAUAGAUACCAUUGCUGCUGAUUUUAAACCUGGGACAAAACUUGGUCCAAAUUUCCCAUUCACUUUUAUGCGAAGUACCCAAUGAAGUCAAUAAGUGAAACUUGUGUUUUAAUUACUGAUUUGUGUGAUUUGCCCUUUUUAUUUUAUAGAUUAAGGAAAUGAAAUGUAUGGGCAUGGCCCAUAGAUGUCUUAACAGCAAAAAAAGGGGGAAAUGUUUCAGGUAAUGUGCUUAGAAGAGCUCAUUCAAUUUGGAUAUGCUUGGGACUGGUCUCUAUUGGACUUUCAUCAUAAAAUCCAUGAUUUUGUUUUUAAAUUGCUUAGAAGCUUAAAUUCAGACUAGACAUUUGAUGUCUUUGCUCUGUCAAAUCCUUGGGGGGGGGGCGGGGAGCUCAAGUUUCUGGAAGUCUGCUACAAGUGAAAUAGUGCCCUCCACAGAGUUGGAGAGGGGUUGGGAUGUUUUUUAGACUGCUGACUUCUAUGUAAGUACUUCCCUUUACUUACCCUGAGAAUUAAUACUACUAUGCCAUGGACUAAGGUAUUGCUUAAUAGGAAUAAAGAUAUACUAGAUAUCUCUAACACAAACAACUACUCACUCAAAAUACAUAAUAAAUCAUGCUAUUUGUUGUAUUUAA